AUUUAUUUUGCUUUUUUGCUGUAAAAAUUAAUUAUGUAGUGUUCUAAAAAUUUUGUUUUAUAAGAAAAUUAAAUAUUUUAUUCUAUAUCUUUAUUAUAUUCAAAUAGUUAUAAUUUCAUUUUAAAUGAAAGUUUUAGACAUUUAAAGUUAUUUUUGAUUAUGAAUUAUGUGUUUUAUACUUGCAUACUACAUUUUUAACUGGUUUCGAAACUUUUGAGGAAAAAUGACCAAAAUGCCCCUGUGAGACAAAAAUCAUUUUUUUAUUGAUUUUAGUUGGAAAUAGCUUAAAUUCUUUUAGAACAUGAUAUUUGGUAACGGUUGCUCACCAGGGAAAAGAGAAACUGAUAUUAAAGCCUUGCGGGGUUCCGAUUGACAUUCUAGGUAAUGAGUGUCAAUCGGGACAACACGGCGGUUGUCACGGGCUUGAGGGGAGUACCGGGUCGUGACAAUAUGUGACAUGCCAUGGUGAGCAUAUAUGACACAACUAUGACACGGCAGGGUUUAGAGUUUAUGACACGUUAUGGAGGGAAUCUGUGGCACGGCAAGGUGAGAAUGUGAGAAAUGGCAUGAUUAGAAUAUGUGAAACGGUUGUGACACGACAAGGGUUAGAGUUUGUGACAAGCCAUGGUGGGAAUGUGUGACACGCCAUGGUGGGAAUGUGUGACACGCCAUGUUGAGAAUUUGUGACACAGCAUGUUGAAAUCGUGUGAAACAGCAUGGUGAGAUUUUGUGACACAGCAUGGGGAGCAUAUAUGUGACACGCCAUGGUUUGAAAUAGAAAAAAAAAUGUGGACAAAUAACAAGGAAUCCAUUUGAACUUCCACUGAAUGAAUAUUAUAAGGCCAUCACAUUUUAUUAUUUUUUAGAAUUCGUAAACGGUUGUGUAAAGGAACUAAGAGAGUUUGAUUCAUUCCUCAUUCCCAAAGGGACUAGAGUGUUCGACUUCAUUCUUUGCAAGCUUAAUGACAUCAUAGCAACAAUGUCGGUUAUCAGUGAAGAGGUCAGUCAGUCUCAAAUUAAAACGUUCUUUUGUUAAUUCAUUUUUUGCUGGGUUGCUGUGAUAUGUUCAUGUUUUUGCAUUUGUUAUGUUUUAACUGUUUUCUUCCUGGUUUUAUGGUUUUUGCGUAAAUUAUGGAGAGAGAUAACUACAACAUUUUUUUUUGCUGACAUGGUUUAUGGUCAUACCAAAGUUU
rnacentral:lncRNA from 1 species